CGCCUUUUGAGAUAUAUACAUAAAAGGUCCUGCCUGCCCAAUGACUUGUUUUAAUGGCCGCGGUAUUAUGACCGUGCAAAGGUAGCGUAAUCAUUUGUCUUCUAAAUAAAGACCAGUAUGAACGGCAAGACGAAAGCCUCGCUGUCUCCCUAAUCCAAUCAAUGAAAUUGAUCUUCCCGUGCAGAAGCGGGAAUAAUAAUAUAAGACGAGAAGACCCUGCGGAGCUUUAAACUCUAAUUAACAAUUAUAAUGCUUUAAUAAUCAGUUUUUGGUUGGGGCGACCAUGAGGUAAAAUAUAACCCUCACGAUGAUUACUAAGAAGGACACUUCAAACAACUAACACUAGCACUUUGACCCAACAAUUGAUCAACGAACCAAGUUACCCCAGGGAUAACAGCGCAAUCCGCUCAAAAAGUCCUCAUUAACGAGCAGGUUUACGACCUCGAUGUUGGAUCAGGACACCCAAAUAGUGCAACAGCCAUUAAAGGUUCGUUUGUUCAACGAUUAAAGUCCU
rnacentral:rRNA from 1 species